rnacentral:rRNA from 1 species
UACGGAGGGUGCGAGCGUUAAUCGGAAUUACUGGGCGUAAAGCGUGCGUAGGCGGUUUGAUAAGUCAGAUGUGAAAUCCCGGAGCUUAACUUCGGAACUGCAUUUGAAACUGUUUGACUAGAGUACUGUAGAGGGUGGUGGAAUUUCCAGUGUAGCGGUGAAAUGCGUAGAGAUUGGAAGGAACAUCAGUGGCGAAGGCGGCCACCUGGACAGAUACUGACGCUGAGGCACGAAAGCGUGGGGAGCGAACAGG